UGUUAUCAAAAUAAAUAUAGUUGUUUUCCUAACAAGUGCAGAAAGUCAUACUUUUCCGCACGCGAUUUCAGUUUGUCGAACGAAGCGAAGCGGAGUUCAGCAAGCAGUCGAGUGCGGAAAAGAGGCUUUCUGCAAGAGUUAGGAACAAUAUUUUUUCUACGAGCAUUUAAAAAUGACCAAAUUAAUUGAAUUAAUAUAAAAAUACAUACACAAAUUAAAUCUUUGACAAAGUUGUCAAAACCAAACUUUCUAUAUAAUUGGUUAGCAUGACGACGAUCUAAUAACACCGAAUUAAAUUCAAUGCGGUGCCUAAAUACCUGUUAUGUACAGGUUUUAAUAUUUUAAAGGCAUAGCAACGAUGUCAAACAAAGCAAUUAUUGUCAAGAAGCACGUCACACACUUUAAAAUUUAUCUUUACUUACGAAUUAAAAAAUAAUUCAGUGAUUUAGAUGGCAUCAAGUGACGAAGAACUACCUCCAUCUAUCCUCGACGUUGUCAAUUAUCUUAAUUUGUUACCGGAAAAAUCAGCAAACAGGUACAAGAAAGAAUACAAUAUUUUUAUGAGUUGGUGUAAAGAAAAAAGUGUAAAUAGCUUAAAAGAAGAAGUGUUUUUGGCUUAUUUUAUUAGUCUAUCCAAAAUCUGCAAACCAAAUACUUUGUGGUCCCGCUAUUCCAUGCUCAAGUCAGUAUUAAAAA
rnacentral:lncRNA from 1 species